rnacentral:rRNA from 1 species
UGGGGAAUAUUGGACAAUGGGCGCAAGCCUGAUCCAGCCACGCCGCGUGAGUGAUGAAGGCCUUCGGGUCGUAAAGCUCUGUGGGGAGGGACGAACGAACGGGUGAAGAACCUGGAAUGACGGUACCUCCUUAGCAAGCACCGGCUAACUUCGUGCCAGCAGCCGCGGUAAUACGAAGGGUGCAAACGUUGCUCGGAAUCAUUGGGCGUAAAGCGCACGUAGGCGGCCUUUUAAGUCGGAUGUGAAAUCCCUCGGCUCAACCGAGGACGUGCAUUCGAAACUGGGAGGCUCGAGUAUGGAAGAGGGUCGCGGAAUUCCCGGUGUAGAGGUGAAAUUCGUAGAUAUCGGGAGGAACACCAGUGGCGAAGGCGGCGACCUGGGCCAAUACUGACGCUGAGGUGCGAAAGCGUGGGGAGCAAACA